UUCCUGGCCUCAGCACCUGGGCUGGCAGGCACCCAGUGGGCCCACAGCCCGCUUCCUGGAGCCGUGUCCCCCGGGCCAGGCACCAGGUUUCACACCCAGUCCUGAAUGGAUUAACAGAGGGAACUGGGGGAUCCGGUCCCUCCUCGGGUCACUGCACGCAUGCUGGGGGAAGCUGCUGUCCACUGCUCAGGGCUGCUGCAGGGGUCCCCGGGGCCAGGAGCACUACCUGGAGCUUGUCAGGAGCGCAGCCCACAGCGGAUCUGAAAUCACAGAAGCUUGGCCACCUGGGAGACUGGGUCCUGAGCACCCCAGGCCCUGGGCAGGUGGGGCCUGAAGAUGAGUGGGGAGACCCUCCCCUGCGCCGGGGUGUGCGGGCUGGGGCAUUCCAUGGGCUCCAGCUGGAACCACUCUCUUCCCUGGGGGCAGGGAGGGCAGCCCACAGGGGCAUCGGCUUGGCUAAGCAGACGGCCUGCCGCAGUAAGAGCUUGCCUUGCCGACAGUGCAGGGCGCCUGCCCGAGGACACAGGGCGCUGUCCUCCAGCUCCAGGCUAGCGGCUCCGCGCGUCAGGUUCCCAUCCUGCGGUUCCUGGUCCCCGAGCGCCAGCACACAGCGCGGCCAAGCACGACACCUAGCGGACAGAGGGCACGCUGCUCCUAGUGCUUUCGCGGGCUGGGAGGAGCCUCCCCCUCAGUAGACCCGCAGGUGGACCCUCAGCCCAGCCAGGCCCCACGGCUCGUGCCUUUCCCAGAAACGUCUGUUUGUUGGGGGGCGGGAUGGGAAGGGUGGGCUGCAGGUGCUAGAAGGCAACCGCCACAGGCUUCGGGAUUCACCUUCCCCUGGGGAGAAAUCACAGAAGCCUGGCCUCCUGGGAGACCGAGUCCUGACCCCAGACCCAGGGGGCUCGGCUGUGCUCUUCACCCAGGGUGCGUGCGCCCUGGCCUGGAGAUGGGGGUAGAGACCCUUGCCCGUGCCGGCUGUGGGGGCUGUUCCGUGGGUUCAGCCAGGUGGGGGCAGGGCUGGCAGGAGUGCUGUCCCCAGGCUGGGAUGCAUGGCUUCCUCUGUGGUUCUGGGAGCCGUCCCAGACUUUCCCAGCCCCCGGCCCCAGACGGGGUCCUGCUCAGGUCCUCACCUGGACCCAGGAGCCGGCUCUUCCCACUGGCUCUCCUGCUGUUCCCACUUGGGUCUUCAGUGGAUGUGGCAGAGCCAUGCUGUGACUUCUCCAGGUGAUGCGGCUGCUGGGGGGAGAGCCACGCCCCUCGUCCAGGUGACGCUCCUGCCGGGGAGAUGCCGCAGCCCCUUUGGGGGCCCAGCAGGAGUCAUGGGCCCUGUGAGCGCCCCCUCCCCUUGGAUGUGGCCGACUGACGAAUGGAGGAGGAGCCGUCGCCCCAGGGUCAAGGUCACUUUGGCAGCAGGCACCCCAAGAGGCCCCGGUGAGAAGGCGCCUCACUUGUGUAGGAUCACCCCCGGAGAAUCACGAGACAGCGUCAGAGCGGCGCAGGCAGCCUGAGGACGGUCUGGAAACACCUGUGCUGCUCGAGCCACCGAGGUGAGGGCCGGGCACGGAGAAGCGGUCUGUGGUCCAGGGAAUGGCAGUUACUGUGGUCACUCGUUGUUUUGACCGUGGGCCGUGGGAGGUGAGGGGUGAGCCUUCCCGCAGACAGGGAGGGUGUCCAGGGGAGCCGGGCGGGCGCCCCGUGUCCUGCAAGACCACGCUUGCCCACUAGAUGGCAGUAGCGCCCUGCAGCCUGGAGGUGCCGGAGGUCAGGGCGGCUGGGCUGGGGCUGGCCUUCCUCCAGGCGGAACACGGUGGUCGGUGGUCGGAGCAAUGAAGGGCACCUGCAGGGCAGCGGGAGGGCCUCCUUGCAGCAGAUUAUCCUAAAGUGGAUUUUUUCCCCUGAGAAGUCACUCAAUUUGCUGUGCUGUGUGUGAAGGUAUGACAGCUGAGGUCACAGUGCUUCUAUAAUCCACAAGAGACAGAAAUACAACUCACACUAGCUUAAGGAAAAGGCGGGGCUGAUUUGGAUAACGUGUUUCAGUCUGAAAUAGCAAAAGGCAAAACCCAGGGAAUAAAGACAUAACGAGCAAGUUAAGAAGGAGGAUUUCUCAGAAGCAGAACCCUGGUGUUGACCGUGUCCUUUGGCUGCUCUGAUGGUCUCUCCCAAGCUUUUGGGAAAGCAGUUUGUCGUGCAUUUUCCCCACAUCUGGGGGUUGCUGUUCCUGUAUGUGAUGUUGUGCCGGGAUAGGGGGGGUCUCAGGGGGAGGGGCAGGGCUGAGCAGGGGACCGGGGACCCCCUCUUUCUCCAGACUGUUAUUUUCAGUUAGUUUCGCUUCAACAAGGGGACAUGGCCUCUCCUCAGAGAAGCCAGCAGCCUUCAGUGCGCCCCCUUCUCGUUCCUGGGCGCUGGGUCAGUUGGCAGAGACCACGGGGCCACGGCGGGUGGACUGCUCCUGGGCCCUUCCUGCUCUGCCUCUGCUCCUUCCGGGACUGCUCGGCCGGCCUCCGCUAAGUCACUGCACGUCUGUGAGCGGGGAUUAUAGCGUCCUGGAGGACAGGAGCCUCUGUGUGGGCAGCUUGCCGGGUGAUGGUUCAAGCCUGGGCUGGGAGCAGUCCCUGAAGCCACGGUGCCAGAGGGGCCACCAGAGGGGCCACCAGCCUCCCUGCACCCUUUGUCUGCUGGAAGCCAGCCCGCCGGCCC